AACGAACGCUGGCGGCAUGCCUAACACAUGCAAGUCGAACGAGACCUUCGGGUCUAGUGGCGCACGGGUGCGUAACGCGUGGGAACCUGCCCUUAGGUUCGGAAUAACUCCCCGAAAGGGGUGCUAAUACCGGAUAAUGUCUUCGGACCAAAGAUUUAUCGCCUUUGGAUGGGCCCGCGUUGGAUUAGCUAGUUGGUAGGGUAAAAGCCUACCAAGGCGACGAUCCAUAGCUGGUCUGAGAGGAUGAUCAGCCACACUGGGACUGAGACACGGCCCAGACUCCUACGGGAGGCAGCAGUGGGGAAUAUUGGACAAUGGGCGAAAGCAUGAUCCAGCAAUGCCGCGUGAGUGAUGAAGGCCUUAGGGUUGUAAAGCUCUUUUACCCGGGAUGAUAAUGGCAGUACCGGGAGAAUAAGCUCCGGCUAACUCCGUG
rnacentral:rRNA from 1 species